AGAGUUUGAUCCUGGCUCAGGACGAACGCUGGCGGCGUGCCUAAUACAUGCAAGUCGAGCGAGCGGAACUAACAGAUUUACUUCGGUAAUGACGUUAGGAAAGCGAGCGGCGGAUGGGUGAGUAACACGUGGGGAACCUGCCCCAUAGUCUGGGAUACCACUUGGAAACAGGUGCUAAUACCGGAUAAGAAAGCAGAUCGCAUGAUCAGCUUUUAAAAGGCAGCGUAAGCUGUCGCUAUGGGAUGGCCCCGCGGUGCAUUAGCUAGUUGGUAAGGUAAAGGCUUACCAAGGCGAUGAUGCAUAGCCGAGUUGAGAGACUGAUCGGCCACAUUGGGACUGAGACACGGCCCAAACUCCUACGGGAGGCAGCAGUAGGGAAUCUUCCACAAUGGACGCAAGUCUGAUGGAGCAACGCCGCGUGAGUGAAGAAGGUUUUCGGAUCGUAAAGCUCUGUUGUUGGUGAAGAAGGAUAGAGGUAGUAACUGGCCUUUAUUUGACGGUAAUCAACCAGAAAGUCACGGCUAACUACGUGCCAGCAGCCGCGGUAAUACGUAGGUGGCAAGCGUUGUCCGG
rnacentral:rRNA from 1 species